GGAAGAAAAGUCGUAACAAGGUUUCUGUAGAUGAACUUGCGGAAGGAUCAUUG
rnacentral:rRNA from 1 species